rnacentral:rRNA from 1 species
UACGAAGGGGGCUAGCGUUGCUCGGAAUCACUGGGCGUAAAGGGCGCGUAGGCGGCGUUUUAAGUCGGGGGUGAAAGCCUGUGGCUCAACCACAGAAUGGCCUUCGAUACUGGGACGCUUGAGUAUGGUAGAGGUUGGUGGAACUGCGAGUGUAGAGGUGAAAUUCGUAGAUAUUGGGAAGAACACCGGUGGCGAAGGCGGCUCUCUGGACCGAGACUGACGCUGAGGCGCGAAAGCGUGGGGAGCAAACAGG